rnacentral:piRNA from 1 species
UUUAUAACAAGUAGUUGGUUG